AUUAAAGCAUUGAAGAGAAUAAGUAAAUUUUAUGGAGCUUAAAAGAGAGUUAUCGGCUGGUGAGAGAUGCAAAGCGAAAUUAAAUUGAAUACGUCUCAGAGCAGCUCUCCGAAAGAUAAUAUCUAUUAGGCAGUUGACGAUUUUGCACACGUUAUAGUGCUAGGGUAUAAACAAAUUUGUUUUGUCGUACCUGAAAAGUUAAUUAUCGUGAGGUAAUUAUAAACCAAGGUGGUAACACGUGAUUAGUACUCUCGUCCUUUAU
rnacentral:ncRNA from 1 species